AACGUACGCUGGCGGCAUGCCUAACACAUGCAAGUCGAACGAGAUCUUCGGAGCUAGUGGCGCACGGGUGCGUAACGCGUGGGAAUCUGCGCUUGGGUUCGGAAUAACUCAGAGAAAUUUGAGCUAAUACAGGAUGAUGACGUAAGUCCAAAGAUUUAUCGCCCAAGGAUGAGCCCGCGUAGGAUUAGCUAGUUGGUGAGGUAAAGGCUCACCAAGGCGACGAUCCUUAGCUGGUCUGAGAGGAUGAUCAGCCACACUGGGACUGAGACACGGCCCAGACUCCUACGGGAGGCAGCAGUGGGGAAUAUUGGACAAUGGGCGAAAGCCUGAUCCAGCAAUGCCGCGUGAGUGAUGAAGGCCUUAGGGUUGUAAAGCUCUUUUACCCGGGAUGAUAAUGACAGUACCGGGAGAAUAAGCUCCGGCUAACUCCGUGCCAGCAGCCGCCGUAA
rnacentral:rRNA from 1 species